CUAGUUGGCGAGGUAACGGCUCACCAAGGCAACGACGGGUAGCUGGUCUGAGAGGAUGGCCAGCCACAUUGGGACUGAGAUACGGCCCAGACUCCUACGGGAGGCAGCAGUGGGGAAUCUUGCGCAAUGGCCUAACGGCUGACGCAGCGACGCCGCGUGUGGGAUGAAGCUCCUCGGAGUGUAAACCACUGUUGCCCGGGACGAAUAGCUCGAUUAAUCGAGCCUGACGGUACCGGGUGAGGAAGCACCGGCUAACUCCGUGCCAGCAGCCGCGGUAAUACGGGGGGUGCGAGCGUUGUCCGGAAUCACUGGGCGUAAAGGGCGCGUAGGUGGUUUGAUAAGGGUGUGGUGAAAGUCCGGGGCUCAACCCCGGAUCUGCCGUGUCGACUGUCAAACUCGAGGGCUGUAGAGGCAGACGGAAUUCCGGGUGUAGCGGUGGAAUGCGUAGAGAUCCGGAGGAAGACCGGUGGCGAAGGCGGUCUGCUGGGCAGUUUCUGACACUGAUGCGCGACAGCGUGGGGAGCAAACAGGAUUAGAUACCCUGGUAGUCCACGCCGUAAACGAUGGGUACUAGGUGCCUGGGGGAGCGACCCUCUGGGUGCCGGCGCUAACGCAGGAAGUACCCCGCCUGGGGAGUACGACCGCAAGGUUGAAACUCAAAGGAAUUGACG
rnacentral:rRNA from 1 species